GAGAGCAUAAACAGGUCAGCUGUUGCUAUGUUUCUGAUACUUCUGCCCAAGCUUGCAACUCUUUCCAAAGUCAUUAUGAUUUAAAAUGCAAAUUCUGAAAGGGUAUACAGAUUUUCUAGUACUUUCAUUAGCAAACAUGAGUUUCAAAGUAUUAGCAGUGUCAUUACAGUGAAUGAUAUUUGUAAAAUUGGAAAAUCAUUUAGUUUGGAAGGGAUCUCUAGACCUUGUCUGAAACAGCAUCCUGCUCAAAGCAGGGCCUGCUAGAGCGGAUAACUACAGGUAAUUCCCUACCUGUGCAAAGAUUACCUUAAACCAUCACACUGGAACUUGUAUUCAGGUGUUAUCUGCCAUGAACCUUGAUCCCUUUUCUGUGUCACCUCUUGCCAGGUAAGCAAGUGGCACUAAAAAAAACAAUGGUUUAGCUUUGUUGACAUUUCAUGUGCAUUUUCCAGUCUUCCCAACAGAUCCCCAGUGCAUAAAAUGGCAUGAACUCCAAUGCAUUACUAAAUGUACUAUUAGGAAUUCCUUUGACAUGAAGGAAUCCUGCGGUGUGCCAAAGGCAACUUUGUUUCUCUCCUUGCUGUCCCUGCCACAGGGACUUGUCAAGAUUAUUUUUGGGAAUGAAACUAGGAGUGUCAUUCACUCCAUGAUCAGUGGUGGUUUGCAAGAUCUGCAAUUUUGCUGCUUUUAUUGAAGACUUCUAGCUUGUUCUGGGGCUUGCUUUGACCUCAGGUAGCUUCUGGAAGAAGGGGAAGCCACUGGUUGCUGCCUCCCAGGGGGUGCCUGGAACAAUGCCAGGAAGUCUCCUUAACCGAGUCAUUUGUACACCUUUAGAUCCCCUUUAAUCCAGGCUUAGUAGACUGAAGAAUUCAACCUGACAAAUACUGCUGUGACAGUAGGUCAUGGAGAGAGCCCUGCUGUCAGGCUACGGGGGCUGCAAGGAAAAAUUGUUUGAACUUAAAAAUAUACAGUUGCCUGCAUCUCAGGUGAAGUGUUCUCAAAACCAGCUACUGAGCAUUUUGUACUGCUGGGAGGAUGUAAGACUUCUUGGAUAGAAACCAUAAGUAGGAGCGAAAAGGUCACAUUUCUACUUGUGUUUGAAAAGUCCUCUUAUGAAAGGAAUCUACACAUUCUUCUAGGGAUCCAGAGACAGUAGGAAACAUUUCUUACUAUUUACCUUGCCAGUUAUGAGGGGGGAGACAUAAAUUCCUGGGCUAACCACUUUUUUGACAUAUAGAAGAACAUUGUCCUAUUUAGAGUUCAAAUAAGGUUUUAGUUAAGCUCAUUUCUGUUAGUGUACUUCUGUGCUACCGUCUUCAGCAGGUUAUGCUUGAGCCAGAUUUUUUUCCAUUUUUUCUUUUUUAAGGCUUUCACUGUUUCUAUUUUUGAAAAUAAAGUUGUGAAAACUAUGUCAAUGUCAAAUACUGGGUAAAAACUGCUAGAGGUGACAGGAUCAGAAUGUGGUUUUACAGGCUUGUAUAAUUUUUGAAAGUGAUUAAAAAGCAAGAAUAGAAAUUCCUUACGUGAUAAGUUAAUACUUUAAAAAAGUAGGUUUUCUUUGUUCAGCAUAGAUCCUUGAAGGUCUUAAGCAAUCCCACCAGAAACCCGGUUUUAUUAGCAUUUUAAAAGAAAUAGUUGUGGAAAAGAUUAUUAAAAAUUUGUUUGAGGAACUUUGGAACAUUGCUUUACUUUACUCAUCCACAGUAUCAUCUCACCUUUUAAAAGGAGAAUUUUGCCAAAAUUGGCUGAAUUUUAUGAUAGCAAUGGUCUCAUGUGGUCAGCUGCAAGCUGAUGGCUAUUGGUACUGUUAAAAUACUUAACAUGCAGCAUUAAGUCAUUACUCUUCUGUAAUAUGUAGACCUAUCUAGGAAUUUGUUAACAGUCCUGGUCUUAAACCCUGGAUUUGACAAUCAGAGUCUUUUGGUCUCUGUUAUGACAAGUGAAACUACCAUUUUCAUUUUCAGCAAAAUGGGAUUUUAUUUACAGCAAUAGUAGGUCCUCUCACAUUACAUUACUUUGUGCUGACUUUCCCUAGUACUAACUUCUGCGCUAUCUGCUGACUGCCAACAUAUUAAAGGGCAAUAGCAGCAAGCACUCACAGAGCCCUCAGUGUACAUGGAGGGACCGAGGAAAUCUUUACAGUUGAGUAGUUCUUCAGGAUGGUAUUUCUGCUAGCUGGACCAUCAAUUUAUUUUCAAAAUGUACCAUCUAAGAAAAAUUUACUGUUUUAAAAGUGUAUUGAAAGUGACAUCAUCUCACUUAAAAAUAUUAAUUGUGGGGAGAAGCAAGAGAUUUUGAGCAGCUGAACCACCUUACUUCAAAAUCCCCAUAAUUACAUUUUCAGCAAUAAGAAAUAUUCCUGUAAAUGAAUGCUUUGUCCUAUCUCUGAGUAAUUUUCAAUGUUGCUUGUGUCACAUAUCAGAAAGGCUUACUCAUCAGAAUUAUGCACCAUUUAAAAUGCUGAGGAAGCACUACUGAGUUUUGCAGCACUUCCCAGCCAGGCUGCAUUUAGAUCUGGGUUUAUCCCUUUUAAUGCCAGGCCUGGACCUAUUUCUUCAGCCUCAGGAAGUACGUAUUGGAGGACUUAAAUUAGAAAACAAGAAAGAGAUUUAAAGGGCUUAUGUUUCAAAGAAAUAAAUUGAAAAUUGUGUAUCCAUAUCAAGGUAGCACUCUAUCUGUAGUACUAACAGUCAAGGAAUCUGAAUGAAAUGGAGUGAAAAUGCUCAAUUAGAUUACAGCAUAAAAAUAAACAGACACUCUGAACUGAAUUAAACUACUGACAUUUAUCUGAAAAUGUAAAGGGCUUUAAAAAUAGUAUAUACAUUAAUGAAAUGCCCUAAGAUGAUCAUGCUUAAAUCCCCUCAACCCCUCCCCCCCGAUUUAUAUACUUCUGGAAGAUUUAUUAAAAAUGCACUUACAAAACAAGAUUGAAGAAGAUGACUGUGGUAUUUUUGAAAACUAUCAAGAACCAAGGUGAAAUCUCACCUGGCACAGGAGAAUGUAUAGCAGUCAUUUGACGGAUUACAUUUAUUUAAAUGAUAAACUAGAGUAUUACUGACUUAACCUUUCAAGUUUCUGUUGCAUCUUGUAACUUUGGAAGUGAAAAAAAUCAGUAGUGAUUUUCUUAUUGAUUUACUCAGAAAUAUGAAAGCUAUAUUAAGGUCUUGAUUUUUCUGAGAUUUAUGAAAGCUGAAGUAGAGAAUCUUGUUUUCAGAGUAUUCUCACUUUAACUAUAAGAGUAAAUGAAAGAGAACAUAGUAACCACUCAGUGAAAAAAAAAAAUCAAACCAAAAAGAAUGCGUACUUCCCUUAGGACUCCUUACUCCUAAGGGAAUGCACCGCACAAUAGAACACAGAGUGAUCUGACAGUAGGUUGAUGUUUUUUUUCUGGAUAGGCUUGUGCCCUGUUUUAUACAUGUAUUGAUAUUUUUUUAAAUCUGGCCCUAAGCAAUUUGUUGAUUCUACGUAGCAAUUUAAUGGCAAGACUAAUAACAUGCUUCUGUACCGUGACCGGUGAUUGUAACUCCCGCAGAGUGCUCUUGAAAGAAAUUUUAAAAGCCUGAGGCAGAUAUCAGCAAUUCAUGUGACAUGCAAAGGUGUAGCAAAUGCCAGAGAAUGUGGUUACCUCCCCUGAGAAAGGGUUUUGUGGCAGCUGACAGAAGAGUUAAUUUUUUUAAUUGUUUGUCCACAGUGGGUUGCAUAUUGCAAUGUAAGAUGGGGAAACCAUGUAAGUGUCUGGUCAAGAGUCCUUCCUAUAGCUGUAUUCUAGAUGUAGGUUUGCCUCAGCCCUGCUGGGGAUUACUUGCCACUCAUUUCUUGCAUUUUAUUGUGUUAAUGGACCAUAUACAUGCGCGAUGGGAGAAAUUUAGAUCCUGGUGGAGUUAACAGCAAACAUACCACUGACUAAACAGGAAACUUAGUUGAACCCAGUGAAGACUAAAAGGACAUAGAUGGAUUCUUGUGGGGUGUUUCUCAGCAAAAAAAUUACCUGCCCUGCAGCUGGCAAGCCUCUGAAAAAAGGCAACCAUUAGCUAUCCCAUCAACUCUAAGUAUUCCAGGUAAUGUAUCUAACUGGAACUAGAAAUUUACUGUUACUUUUCUUUUUCAAGCAAAGCUGAAAUGACGCUUUCAGAAAAGUGAAAAUAAAUGUUCUUUUUGUAAGGCAAAAAGCAAAAUCAACUUGUCAGCUUUCCAAAUGCAAUCUGUGUGAUUAAUGUGUCUCGAAAUACAGACAUUUCUAUAAAAUAUUAAUUACUUCACUUCUGGACUGUAUUGAAUUACAUUUAGCAGGGUUUUUUAAAAUCCAUGUAUUUUAGUAAAUAAUGUUUAUUAAAUCUUUUGAUAAUAGAAACCACUUCCUAUGUAUAAUUUUACUCUUUUUGUUAAAAAGUCUAUCUUGGUUGCCAGGUACAACAGAAGUCCAAGGAGCUUUCCUAGGAGCAGAGAUGACUUUUGUGAGCAAGAAUCUGAGGAAUGUGCAUAUUUUUCCUUACAGCUAUAGUGCCCAAAAUUUCAGACAUGUGAAUGUUGAAGAGUGGCUGAUUUAUUUUUUUUUUUUAAAAGAAUAUUUUGCUUUUUUAACAAGAUAGCAUCAUUGCCACUUUUCUAAUUUAAAUGACUUACAUAGACAAAUCUAUAUGAAAGUUAUGAAUACAGCUCAAAUGCUUGAUUUACCUCAAAAUAUCCAGAAUGACUGGAAUGUGUUUAAUUAAUUUUUUUCAAUUUUUUUUUUUUCUAAAA